rnacentral:rRNA from 1 species
UACGUAGGUGGCGAGCGUUAUCCGGAUUUAUUGGGCGUAAAGUGGGCGCAGACGGUCUGGUAAGUCAGAUGUAAAAUCUCUCGGCUUAACCGGGUGGUUGCACUUGAUACUGUCAGACUAGAGGACAACAGAGGGAGGUAGAAUUCCCGGUGUAGUGGUGAAAUGCGUAGAUAUCGGGAGGAAUACCAGUGGCGAAGGCGGCCUCCUGGGUUGUUUCUGACGUUCAUGCCCGAAGGUGUGGGGAG